rnacentral:misc_RNA from 1 species
GAUGAAGAACGUAGCGAAAUGCGAUAAGUAAUGUGAAUUGCAGAAUUCAGUGAAUCAUCGAAUCUUUGAACGCACAUUGCGCCCGUCAGUAUUCUGGCGGGCAUGCCUGUUCGAGCGUCAUUACGCCCCUCAAGUCCCCUGUGGACUUGGUGUUGGGGAUCGGCGAGGCUGGUUUUCCAGCACAGCCGUCCCUUAAAUUAAUUGGCGGUCUCGCCGUGGCCCUCCUCUGCGCAGUAGUAAAACACUCGCAACAGGAGCCCGGCGCGGUCCACUGCCGUAAAACCCCCCAACUUUUUAUAGUUGACCUCGAACCAGGUAGGACUACCCGCUGAACUUAAGCAUAUCAAUAAGCGGAGGA